UAGGGAAUCUUCGGCAAUGGGGGGAACCCUGACCGAGCAACGCCGCGUGAGUGAAGAAGGUUUUCGGAUCGUAAAGCUCUGUUGUUAAGGAAGAACGAGUGUGAGAAUGGAAAGUUCAUGCUGUGACGGUACUUAACCAGAAAGGGACGGCUAACUACGUGCCAGCAGCCGCGGUAAUACGUAGGUCCCGAGCGUUGUCCGGAUUUAUUGGGCGUAAAGCGAGCGCAGGCGGUUAGAAAAGUCUGAAGUGAAAGGCAGUGGCUCAACCAUUGUAGGCUUUGGAAACUGUUUAACUUGAGUGCAGAAGGGGAGAGUGGAAUUCCAUGUGUAGCGGUGAAAUGCGUAGAUAUAUGGAGGAACACCGGUGGCGAAAGCGGCUCUGUGGUCUGUAACUGACGCUGAGGCUCGAAAGCGUGGGGAGCGAACAGG
rnacentral:rRNA from 1 species